GACGAAGAACGUAGCGAAAUGCGAUACGUAAUGUGAAUUGCAAAUUCAGUGAAUCAUCGAGUCUUUGAACGCACAUUGCGCCCCCUGGUAUUCCGGGGGGCAUGCCUGUCCGAGCGUCAUUGCUGCCCUCAAGCACGGCUUGUGUGUUGGGCCCCGUCCUCCGAUCCCGGGGGACGGGCCCGAAAGGCAGCGGCGGCACCGCGUCCGGUCCUCGAGCGUAUGGGGCUUUGUCACCCGCUCUGUAGGCCCGGCCGGCGCUUGCCGAUCAACCCAAAUUUUUAUCCAGGUUGACCUCGGAUCAGGUAGGGAUACCCGCUGAACUUAAGCAUAUCAAUAAGCGGAGGA
rnacentral:misc_RNA from 1 species